rnacentral:rRNA from 1 species
GACGAACGCUGGCGGCGUGCUUAACACAUGCAAGUCGAACGAAGUGGCGAACGGGUGAGUAACGCGUAAUCAACCUGCCCUUCAGAGGGGGACAACAGUUGGAAACGACUGCUAAUACCGCAUACUGAAGGAGGGGAUUGCGUCUGAUUAGCUCGGUGGAGGGGUAACGGCCCACCAAGGCGAUGAGCAGUAGCAGGGCUGGGAGGAGGGACGGCCACAUUGGGACUGAGACACGGCCCAGACUCCUACGGGAGGCAGCAGUGGGGGAACUUCCGCAAUGGACGGAAGUCUGACGGAGCAACGGCGGGGGAGGGAUGACGGCCUUGGGGUUGUAAAGCUCUGUUAAUCGGGACGCGGUACCGGAAUAGAAAGCCACGGCUAACUACGUGCCAGCAGCCGCGGUAAUAC